CCCUUAGAUGUCCUGGGCUGCACGCGCGCUACACUGAUGUGUCCAGUAAGCACCUAACCUCUUCCGAAAGGAACGGGUAACCUUUGCAAAGCACAUCGUGAUGGGGAUAGAUUAUUGCAAUUAUUAGUCUUGAACGAGGAAUUCCUAGUAAGCGCAAGUCAUCAGCUUGCAUUGAUUACGUCCCUGCCCUUUGUACACACCGCCCGUCGCUCCUACCGAUUGAAUGAUCCGAUGAAUACCAUGGAUUGAGAGUACGAAUAGGUUCGCUUAUUUCUGCUGCUCGAGAAGUGGAGUAAAUCUUAUCAUUUAGAGGAAGGAGAAGUCGUAACA
rnacentral:rRNA from 1 species